rnacentral:tRNA from 3 species
GGGGUCGUAGCCCAAUUGGCAGAGGCACUGGGUUUAGGUCCCAGCCAGUGGGGGUUCGAGUCCCCCCGACCUCACCA